CUGGACGGGGUCAACUCGUGAUCAAGAAGACGAGUGGCCUAGGCUAGUGACCUCCAUUGCACAUUAAGGAGGGGUGCUUAGCUUAAGGUCUUCCCAUGAGGAAGAGCCUACGUCAUUAUUUGUGGCAGGGGGGUUUGCGUCCGUGCAGCCCCUACCAUUAUAUGUCAUAAUCUUUAUAUAUACUGAACAAUAAUAAUAAACUAACUUAAUAUGUCGGUAUAAUAUUAAUGUUACGAGAGCUUUAUGUUUGUUUUGCUCUAGGUCCGGUGUCCCACAUCGGAAAAAGGUUUCAAGUUGAUGGGUUAGUUGGAGUAUAAAACUAAGAGGCUUACGUAAGUUGAAAAGCAUCUUUGCGCUUGGGGCAAUGACGCAGCUAAUGAGGUCUUAACCGAGGCGCGUCUAUUGCUGGUUGAAAACUAUUUCCAAACCCCCUCCUGGGUUCCAAGCUUGUCUUGGUCCCUCGAGAAUUUCUGGAAGGGCUCCCUUCGGGGAAAAAGCUAUCUAUGUAUGCUUCCGUCACGCAAGUUAUACCGGACAUUGAUGAUCCUUCAAAGAUCUCAGGCUAUAUGGUAGAUUGUGAGAAGAGGGUCAUCGAGAAGUUUCAAUUCGAGACAAAUGAGACGGCCUACAAGACAUGUAACAGUAUCUGGAGCAUCAUCCACAAGCAAUAGAUAGACCUUGACACCAGUUCAUGUGGCACCAGUUCGUUUGUAUGAUAUCUCUAUUUGAUCAGUAUUGGUUCUAUAGCUUAGCAACCAAAAAAACCUCUCUACCUACACCUACAGUUCCGUAGAUGCAAAAGCAUGAAGGAGGUUAUGAAUCUUGAUUUCCCAUCGGGAGUAUCUUAAGCUUUUUUGACUUUGAUUGUAUGAUGUAAAAGAGAACAUUUGAGUUUAAGGAAGUCUCAAGUAUGGACAUGUUUUUACGCUCUCUCAACGAAUGAAGAACUAGAAAUGUUCAAAGUCAAGGUCUUUUGGACUA